AUUAAAACAAUUUAGUAACAAGUUUGAUGCCCUUUAUUGAAUGGAAGCCAAUCCACAAACCGGGAGAGUACAGCACCUCACAAGCAGUGGAGCACUGUUCUCGCGGGAUUUGGGGCGAGAGCGAGUUUUAUACAGCACGGGAAGCAGCAAUGCGGAAAGAGGGCCUGAUGGACUGUGUUGGCUGUUAGACCUUUAGAAAGCUCAAGCAACCAGGAGAUCCCCAGGAAAAGAUAUGAUUGGUGAAGCCUAUUUUUGAACUAGGCUCCACAGAAGAUAGGCUUUUGCCAACCUGUAGAUUCAAGUUCCUUUGUCCAGUCCAAACAGGAAGAAGAAAACAGACUUCAUUGACAAGGAAAAGUAAACAUUGCAUCUUGGCAAAAAUGCAGUUUAAAUAUUUAGAAUAUUGUGAUUCAUUGUUCAAUUAAGCACCAGUCUCAAAUUUUAGGACAGUCGAUGGAUGAUGAAGAGGAGAGGAGAGAAAAGUGCUUGUUUCCCUAGAGGUCUCAGUCUUAUUGCUCCUUCGGAAGAGAAGAGAUAUAGCUUAUACAGACUAAAAUUUGGGGACGAUGACAUGGAGGGUUUGUGCAAAGGCCAGAAACUGUGACAAAUUAUCCAAUUCCACAAAACCGAAGCUAGUCCACCGUCCUCUCUUCAAUCGAAGGGUUGUUCCCCUCCCAAAAAGAACCCAAACAAACAGAAAAGAAAAGAAUCUGUGACUGAGACUUUAUGGUCCACAAAGCCUAAAAUAUUUACUAUGUGGCCCUUUAAGAAGUUUGGCUGACCCUUGUUCUAUCUGAAGGGAGUAAACGGUCAACCAUGCAGGUCUUGGCAGUAACGAGGCACUUCAGACACGGUAACCUGGAGCCCAGAGUGGAAUUCAAUUUUUUUUCAGUCUUUCUAGUUGUGGCAUGUGGGACACGGCCUCAACGUGGCCUGACAAGCGGUGCCAUGUCCACGCCCAGGAUCCGAAACAGCGAAGCCCUGAGUCACUGCAGUGGAGCGUGCGAACUUAACAACUCGGCCAUGGGGCCGACUCCUCAUAUAUUGUUUUCUGUUUUCUCUUGUAUCUUAGGAAUGACAAGAUUCUAUGUACCUUGUGAGGAUGAGGUAAUGAAUAUCUUUCCUUUUUUGAAAGCAGUAUACUUUUGUUUCUAAGAAACUAUAUUUAAAAUAAAAUUUCACUGAGUAGGCCAGUUUUAAUUAUCAGGUGCU
rnacentral:lncRNA from 1 species